rnacentral:rRNA from 2 species
UGCAGUCGACGACUCUGGUAUUGAUUGGUGCUUGCAUCAUGAUUUACAUUUGAGUGAGUGGCGAACUGGUGAGUAACACGUGGGAAACCUGCCCAGAAGCGGGGGAUAACACCUGGAAACAGAUGCUAAUACCGCAUAACAACUUGGACCGCAUGGUCCGAGUUUGAAAGAUGGCUUCGGCUAUCACUUUUGGAUGGUCCCGCGGCGUAUUAGCUAGAUGGUGGGGUAACGGCUCACCAUGGCAAUGAUACGUAGCCGACCUGAGAGGGUAAUCGGCCACAUUGGGACUGAGACACGGCCCAAACUCCUACGGGAGGCAGCAGUAGGGAAUCUUCCACAAUGGACGAAAGUCUGAUGGAGCAACGCCGCGUGAGUGAAGAAGGGUUUCGGCUCGUAAAACUCUGUUGUUAAAGAAGAACAUAUCUGAGAGUAACUGUUCAGGUAUUGACGGUAUUUAACCAGAAAGCCACGGCUAACUACGUGCCAGCAGCCGCGGUAAUACGUAGGUGGCAAGCGUUGUCCGGAUUUAUUGGGCGUAAAGCGAGCGCAGGCGGUUUUUUAAGUCUGAUGUGAAAGCCUUCGGCUCAACCGAAGAAGUGCAUCGGAAACUGGGAAACUUGAGUGCAGAAGAGGACAGUGGAACUCCAUGUGUAGCGGUGAAAUGCGUAGAUAUAUGGAAGAACACCAGUGGCGAAAGGCGGCUGUCUGGUCUGUAACUGACGCUGAGGCUCGAAAGUAUGGGUAGCAACAGGAUUAGAUACCCUGGUAGUCCAUACCGUAACGAUGAUGCUAAGUGUUGGAGGGUUUCCGCUCUUCAGUGCUGCAGCUACGCAUUAGCAUUUCGCUUGGGGAGUACGGCCGCAAGGCUGAAACUCAAA